rnacentral:lncRNA from 1 species
UGAAAUAGUUUUAGAACAGUUUGGCACAAAUAUAUUGAAUUACUUGUUAUGUAUUAUGUAUAGGUGGUGAGUCCUCUGGUAAAGGUAAGGAUAUCGUACCCGAGGACCAAGUGUCACAACCCGGUACUCCCCUCAAGCCUGUGACAACCGUCGUAGUGUCCCAAUCGACACUCAUUACCCAAAAUGUCAAUCGAAACCCCGCAAGGCUUUAAUAUCUGUUUCUCAUUUCCCCUGUGAGUAACCGUUGCCAAAUAUCAUGUUCUAAAAGAUUUUAAGUUAUUUCCAACUUAAAUCAAUAAAAAAAUGAUUUCUGUCUCACAAGGGCAUUUUGGUCAUUUCUCUUCAAAAAUCUGGAAACCAGCUAAAACUAUAGUAUACAAGUGGAAAACACAUAUUUCAUAAUCAAAAAUAAGUUUAGAUAUCUAUAAUAUUCAUUGAAAGUGAAAUUAUAACUAUCUGAAUAUAAUAAAAAUAUUCAAUAAAAUAUUCUAUUUUAUUAUAAAACAAUAUUUAUAGAGUUAUCGGUAAAUAAUUUUUGUAGCGUAAAAGCUAAAUAAAUUCAUACAUACUGUAAUACAGAUAACCAAAGUGUAAAAUUUAAUUUACAGUGACACGUGGGCUCACGAACGACCAAAAAUAUCAAAAGCGGUAAACCUACAGUUUUUGAGGAUGCAAGUUCAAUUGUAGCCCUCAACAAAGUGAGCUAUCUACCGACUAUUCUGAGCCUGAAAUGGGUGAAAAGAAAAGUGGUGAGAUUAUAUAAUCCUAAUGAGUAAACAAAUACCAUCUAAAAUAUCUAAAGCUGAGUAAAUGGAGACAGAUAAAAUAGAUUCGCAUAAAAAUUAUUCUUAGUAUUUCGAACUCAUUUUAAUAAGAUAAAAUAGAUUCAUUUCACCAAAAUAAACAACGAGGCUUAUGAUUUCCUGAAAAGUUUGGCUCAUGGCAAAAUCAUUCUCAUACUCAGUUAUCAGGGAUACCUUGGCCGAAGGCUAUCCCAAUCGAGUCCGCCAAGGCUAUUAAAAAGUUAUGUACACAUAAAUCAUGUUUUUAUUUUGAAAACAUACCCGUUCCUUGGCAUUGGUUGAGUUCACCCUCACGUGGUGGUUUGGCGUGAAGUGAACUCUAAAGUUUUAACCUCAAGAGUUAUCCAACCGCGCCUCUCAUACUGAGGUAUGAAUAUAAUAGGGUUAUCGUGCCCCUCUAAUAAGCUGGUCCACGGAACCCGUCAACUGCAGCGACCAAUUAUAACCCACCAAUUCAACAAAAUUCAACAGCAUGACAUGGCAAUUAUUUCAUUUUACAGCCUCUCAAGGCAAAUCAACAGUUCAUACUUUUUCAGCACAUUUACCAAAUCCAACCAUUCAUGCCAAUAUUAUCAUAAGCCAUUCAAUUCAAACCAUGAUUUAUAACACAGCAAUUAGUCUCCAAUUACUCUAUUUUCAAACCAUCAUUUCAUUGCAAGACAAUGUUAUAAAAUCAUUUCAUUAAAUCACAUUUUAAUUACAAAAUGCAUAGAUUUACCAUUUAACUUAUUUUUCAUAAAAUCACAAAAUUGGAUAAAAACCACUUUAGAUAAUUAAGAUGAUAGUAAGGUUAUUCACUAUUUCGGGAGUCGAAUUUCGAGUACUCCGAUCUUGAUCCUCGGGUACUAUCUCUUUACUUUUGCCAGAAAGCUCACCACCUAGACAUAAUGCACAAUAAGCCAUUUACUACAUUUGUGCUAAACCGUUGUAAAACCAAUUUAGGCUUUAUACUAAUGCAUGAAAUGGGAUGUGAAAUACUCAGGUAACUAUCUAAAUACGGUGUUCAAUAUAAAUUCAAUUAUGUACCUAAAUAAAACGGUAUUGGCCUAAUUCGAUCUAUCACCCGAUUAAAUUGGCCAAUACGUCCAAUUCAACUCCAAAUAAUUCCAUUUUUCUCCCAAUACUCCAAAUCAUCAAACACAAAUUAAAUAACUUGAAAUAUGGCAAAAUCAUCCUCACAUUUUCUCUUGAAAAAUUCGGCCAUGGUGGAUGCAUCAACACUAUAAUUUUUCAAGCUUGAUUCUCUCACCAUAAAUCACUAAUUCCUAACCAAAUCACUUGAAAUAAAAUCAAAAUCAUCAUCAAUAUUCUACAUGGAGAAUUCGAUCAAUGAUGAGUGAUGGAAGAACAUGAAUUUUUCUUGCUUGAUUUUCAUGCUACACAUCACUAACUAACUAAAAACACUAAAAUAUCUUAAAAUAUAACCAAAUCAAGCAUCAAAAACUUCUCCCCCCAUGUCCAGCCAGCAAGGGUAUCCUCAUGCAAACUUGAUUCUCAACCAUGGAAAAUGAAAAAGAAUGCAUAGGAAAGGUAGAUCACAAGCUAGAAUUGAAAAAUCUUACCUUUUGUCACUUGAUUCUUUGAAUUUUCACACUUUUCCCUUGAAUUUUUCCACCUAGGGUUUUGUUCUUUCUUUUCUUCCUUUGUUCUUGCUUUGGCCAGC